AAUGAACGCUGGCGGCAGGCCUAACACAUGCAAGUCGAACGGAUCCUUCGGGAUUAGUGGCGGACGGGUGAGUAACGCGUGGGAACAUACCCAAAGGUACGGAAUAGCCUCGGGAAACUGGGAGUAGUACCGUGUGUGCUCGAAAGAGGAAACAUUUAUCGCCUUUGGAUUGGCCCGCGUUGGAUUAGGUAGUUGGUGGGGUAAUGGCCUACCAAGCCGACGAUCCAUAGCUGGCUUGAGAGGAUGAUCAGCCACACUGGGACUGAGACACGGCCCAGACUCCGACGGGAGGCAGCAGUGGGGAAUCUUAGACAAUGGGGGAAACCCUGAUCUAGCCAUGCCGCGUGAUCGAUGAAGGCCUUAGGGUUGUAAAGAUCUUUCAGGUGGGAAGAUAAUGACUGUACCACCAGAAGAAGCCCCGGCUAACUCCGUGCCAGCCGCCGCGGUAA
rnacentral:rRNA from 1 species